rnacentral:rRNA from 1 species
UACGAAGGGGGCUAGCGUUGUUCGGAAUUACUGGGCGUAAAGCGCACGUAGGCGGAUCGUUAAGUCGGGGGUGAAAUCCUGGAGCUCAACUCCAGAACUGCCUUCGAUACUGGGAGCUCGAGUCCGGGAGAGGUGAGUGGAACUGCGAGUGUAGAGGUGAAAUUCGUAGAUAUUCGCAAGAACACCAGUGGCGAAGGCGGCUCACUGGCCCGGUACUGACGCUGAGGUACGAAAGCGUGGGGAGCAAACAGGG